UGUGCCUACUCCCGCCUCACCUUCUGCCAUGAGUAAAAGCUUCCUGAGGCCUCCCCAGGAGCCGAGCAGAUGCCAGCGUCAUGCUUUCUGUACCGUCUACAGAUGCCAGCGUCAUGCUUUCUGUACCGUCUACAGAUGCCAGCGUCAUGCUUUCUGUACCGUCUACAGAACCGUGUUGUUCCAACCUUUAUCUACAUUAAUAUCGUCAAUCCUUUCAACCAUCCUGGAAAUGUAUUGUCUCUGUUUUAAAGAUGAGAAAUCAAGACACAGAGAGGUUAAGAAACUUUUCUGAGAACACACAGCUGGUUAGGACCAGAAGCACAUCCAGCUGCUGCCAGAAAUCCCCACCUGACCCUGCAUUCUGUCAGGGAGCUGGGCCCCCGUGUCCUGCAGAACCUUCCACCCACCAGGGCCUGGCCACUCCCAAACCAGCUGCAGAGGCUUGGAGAGGACACUUCAUAAGACAAAGUGUACCCAACUCAAAAAGGGCAUGCUGCCACAUCCAGCUGUCUUCCGGAAAGAACCAGAUCAACUGCUACUCUGCUGAAGAUGGAAAAAAUCCCAUUAAUUUCCUGACAGGGUUGUUGUAAGGAUCGAGUGAGAUGACCCAGGACAGCAUGUGGACCACCUGCACAGAGUGAGGGCCUGGCCAAUAGCAGCGCUCCUCAGGGCUCAUAGCAGCUCCUCUGACAUCACUACAAGGACUUCACUGUCUGCAAGUAGACAGGGAAGACAGCUUCAUCCCAGAACCUCGCCUUAGCAGUAUCCUCAGUCUACCUUCAGCCCAGAUCGCGAGGGCAGCCCUAAGCCUUGUGAUGGCCCUGGAGGGAGUCUGAGCUACACAGACAGCAGGAUGGAGACAAAGCUUCUAAUCCCCAUGAAGCACUCUGAGUUCAUGCAAGCCCUCCACCCCUCUGCACCAGCUGUGAAAAGGCCUCAUCUGGAAUUCCUGGUGGUUGAGCAGACAGCAAGGUCCUUGCUGAAGCCACAGAUGAGGGGACCCUCCCACCCAUUCAGCCCUUUCCCCUUGCUUCCUCUGCACUCUCGAGGGGCUGGCCCCUUUCUCUCAUCAGCUGUCUGGGCUGGUUGAAUUAUUUCAGUGUUUUCGGACUCUCAGGAGUUGGCACAGAGCGUUGGAAGCCCUCCAGGAAUUCCAGCUGGGUAUGGAGCAUGGAUGAACUUGGCAGGUCACCUGCUUCCUACUCAGUGCUUGUCCACUUCCCCUGGGCUGACGGGAAGAGAUAGGGAUCGUCUCAUGAUCAGUGGGUGGCUUCUUGGGGACUGGCCCUCCAUUCAGCAAAUAUUCCAUGAGUUGCCCUCCAUGUCCCAGACUUCCUUACAGUAGUAAGUUGCAGCCAUGUGACUAAUCCCCAUCAAUGGGCUGUGAGAGGAAAUGACACGUGUAACUUCUGGGCCACGGCAGUUAACAGCCAGAGUGCCUUGGCCUCCCUCCUCUUCCCCAGAUGCAGUGACCUUGGGUGUCAUGCAUUCCAAAUGACAUGGGACUGCAAUGGAGAAAACAAACCUUUAUUGUCUAGUGCUGCUGAGCUUGGGGGUUUAUCUGCCUCUGCAGCAGAGCCAAGCCUAACCUGACUAAUAACAGGGCCUGUUGAAAAUAUCAGCUCAGCCUCCAGGGUCUGGGGUCUAAAGGUCAGCCAUGAAGGCAGGCAGGCAGGCAUCGACCAUGAUGCCCCAGUAAAAACUCAGAACACCGAGGCUCAGAUGAGUGCCCCUGGUUGGCAAUAUUCUGCUUAUUGUCACACGUCAUACCUGG